rnacentral:rRNA from 1 species
CCCGCUGAACUUAAGCAUAUCAAUAAGCGGAGGAAAAGAAAGCAAAUGCGAUUCCCUUAGUAACGGCGAGUGAAAGGGGAGAAGCCCAUCGUGAAGGCCUGUUUCCGUGAGGACUCGGGCGAUGCCACGAUAGUUAAGCGGGUAAGCGGUUGUUGGACUAGGGCUGUAAAUCUGCUUAAGUGCAGUGCCAUAGAAGGUCGAAGCCCUGUUUCGGCCCUGGUCCUUUUGCUGCGCUACCGUUUAAUAAGAGUCGGGUUACUUGAAAGUGUAACCUAAAGAUGCAGGUAGAUCCCUGCUAAGGCUAAAUACGUCCACCAGACCGAUAGCAAACAAGUACCGUGAGGGAAAGUUGCAAAGUACUUUGAAGAGAGAGUUAAAAGAACGUGAAACGGCUAACGGGUAAACGGUUGUAGUGGUCGGAAUAAUCGGCUGGCUUUCAUGAUUCCUGGGUUAAGGGUCUCUCUCUGAGAGAGCCUGUCCCGCAUAGGAGUCUGCAUUAGCCCGGUCGGUGCUGUCCUGCGGCGCUAGGAACUGGUGUGCUCGGCUUGUGAGGAGUUGUCGUGCGUUCAUUCCUUCGGGAGUGGAUGAUAAGCGCGGCUGCCUUGUCUUGCUAGUGGUACUGUUCUUAGUGCGGUAACCCUUUCUAGGGUACGUGAUGUUUGUCGAAGGGGCUGACCUGCGUUGGAGACGGGCUGUAGGUGAUAAACCGAAUGCCUGUGUUUAGCGCAAUAGGUUCUUGAGACAGGCGUUACUGCAGAUGAGCACUAACUGUAACCGUCCCGUCUUGAAACACGG